UGUGAAUAUCUAAUAUUGCCUGCCUGUC
rnacentral:piRNA from 1 species